AACGCACAUUGCACCUCUUGGUACUCCUUGAGGUAUACCUGUUCGAGCGCCGUUUAAAUCUAAGGCAUUGCCUUGUUUUGAUGUUAACCUCUUAAUAGAGGUUCAUCUAAAAAUAUUGGCGUCUUUCUUUUUGACCCGAAACGCAGCAAAAAUGCGAAUUAGAGUUGAAAAAUAAAAGAUUGCCUUGUUAUCUAUAUAAACAUGGCCUCGGAUCAGGUAGGGAUACCCGCUGAACUUAA
rnacentral:misc_RNA from 1 species